rnacentral:lncRNA from 1 species
AGAGUUCAAAAAAUCAUUUUAUUUCUGAUCAUUUUACAAUAAAAAAUUAUAAAUUUGUAUAUUAAAUAUAUUAAGAGUGUUUUUGAAAAACCCAUUCCAGUUUAAUUAAAAUGAAUUAACAGAAAUGUUGGCUUGAAGUCAUAGUUGUAGUUCCGCGUUUCAAACAAGGAUGACAUAUGUGCAAAAGUGGGAGGGGGUAGAAAAGUUCCAAGGGAUGUAAAUUUGAGGGAUCAAAGACCAAGAAGUUAAAAAC